AGCAUGCAUGAGGCCCUAAAUUUGAUCCCCAGCACAACAAAAAAUAAAAGAAAGUUAAAAUUAAAAAAAAAAAAGUUGGUGUCACCUGUCCAUCGGUUGGUGGAGCUAUCUGUCUGGUUAAUUCUAAUAAUAAAUGUGACCUUGGCUUGCUAACCAGUUUUGUCCCUCCCAGUCAGUCAGCAUCCCCCAACUUCUUAGAGGGACAAACAGCAUUCAUCUACCCAAAACUAAACAACAGCAGAUCUGUGAUGCCCUUAGCUGUCCAAGGUUGCACGCACUCUACACUGAUGGGUUCAGCAUGUACCUACCUAUGCCAGCAGGCUGCAGUAACACCCAGUGCCAAAAAUACCCAGUAAUCUGUUGAGCCUCAUUUGUAAUGGGAAUUGGGGAUUGCAAUUAUUCCCCAUGAAGGAAGAACUCCCGGGAAAUGUGGGUCAUAAGCUUGUGUUGAUUGAGUCCC
rnacentral:rRNA from 1 species